UGCGCAGGCGGGUUUGUAAGUCAGUGGUGAAAUCCUGCCGCUUAACGGUAGAAUUGCCAUUGAUACUGCGAAUCUUAAGUAUGGUUGAGGUAGGCGGAAUGUGUAGUGUAGCGGUGAAAUGCAUAGAUAUUACACAGAACUCCGAUUGCGAAGGCAGCUUACUAAGCCAUAACUGACGCUGAGGCACGAAAGCGUGGGGAGCGAACAGGAUUAGAUACCCUGGUAGUCC
rnacentral:rRNA from 1 species